GAUCCUGGCUCAGGACGAACGCUGGCGGCGUGCUUAACACAUGCAAGUCGAACGAGAAUCUGCGGAAAGAGGCUUCGUCCAAUUGAAGCAGAGGACAGUGGCGGACGGGUGAGUAACGCGUGAGGAACCUGCCUUUCAGAGGGGGACAACAGUUGGAAACGACUGCUAAUACCGCAUAACAUAUAGAUGUCGCAUGGCAUUUAUAUCAAAGAUUUAUCGCUGAAAGAUGG
rnacentral:rRNA from 1 species